rnacentral:tRNA from 1 species
GCCUGGGUGGCACAGUGGGUUGAGCACCUGACUUCAGCUCAGGUCAUGAUCUUACGGUUCAUGGGUUCAAGACCCACAUCGGGCU